rnacentral:siRNA from 1 species
GUGUUAGCACGCAAGAAGGAGAAG